rnacentral:rRNA from 1 species
GACGAACGCUGGCGGCGUGCUUAACACAUGCAAGUCGAACGGAAAGGCCCUGCUUUUGUUGGUUGCUCGAGUGGCGAACGGGUGAGUAACACGUGAGUAACCUGCCCUUGACUUUGGGAUAACUUCUGGAAACUGGGGCUCAUACCCGAUAUGAUCUCCUGCUGCAUGUUGGGGGUUGGUAAGUUUCGGCGGUUGGGUAUGGACUCGCGGCUUAUCCGCUUGUUGGUGGGGUAGUGGCUUACCAAGGCUUUGACGGGUAGCCGGCCUGAGAGGGUUACCGGCCACAUGGGGACUGAGAGACGGACCAGACUCCUACGGGAGGCAGCAGUGGGGAAUAUUGCAGAAUGGGCGGAAGCCUGAGGCAGCAACGCCGCGUGCGGGAUGACGGCCUUCGAGGUGUAAACCAAUUUGGCCUGUGACGAAGAGGGAGUGACGGUAAUGGGUAAAGAAGCAACGGCUAACUACGUG